UCUUACUUUACUCUUUUCUCCUUUCUUCUCUACCAAACCCUAGACUUUACUCUUUUCUCCUUUCUUCUCUACCAAACCCUACGAAAGAAGGUUUUCUCUCAACAUUUCUUCCCUUUCUUCCUUUCUCAAUCUCAUCACUUUCUAAUCUCCCCUUGGCUUCCAGUCAAAACCUUCAUAUUCCCCACCUUCACCAUCGCCGCCGUGAAAUCCGCCUUCCAGAGGCUCCGACUACUCCGAUACUGUCUCACCGUCGCUGCCGUCAAUGGGUCAUCUUCUAUCGCACUUAGAUGCUUGGCUACGGAUGGGCUGGAAUAUUUAGAAAAGUCCUUGUGGAUUCUCCAUACAUGUGGUGGCCAGCAAAUUUGAUUCAAGUUUCUCUUUUCAGGGCAUUGCAUGAGAAAGAGAAGAGGCCAAGAGGAGGACAUACAAGGCUCCAAUUUUUCCUCUUAAUUUUUAUCUCAAG